UGUGCAGGCAUGCAUGUGUCCACCAUGCGUGCGUUUGCAUUGGGUCCUUUGGCUGUACGAUCGAUUGCAUGAUCAUUCAACUACUGAGGUGGGCGAUGCAAAGAGGACGGCAUGUGAAUAGGAGGUGAUGACAGACACCUGUGUCCAAUUUGGUUGGUUAGGGCCUUGCGAAAGAGAAGGGAAGAAGGGGCGUACCUAGGUACAGGUAGCUACCGUGGCGUGGCGUUGUCCUUGUGGAAAAGGAAGGUAGGGUCGUACCUACACACCUGCACAGGACACCGGGAAGAUGUACAUUUCUACCUGUUUUAGACAUGCUAAUAGUGCAAUAUUACUCAAUAAGUAGACUAUUAAUAUUUAUGUGAUACCUGAUGCGCAGGAACAUGUUUAGUAGCAGGUCAUUAAAAGUACACUAGCAGAUGCUAGUGUCUCUUUCUGGUCACAAUAGAGUAUACAAAUCACUUUCAGACGUAGCUGAUGAGGACCAGGCUUGGUACUUGCAUGCACGUGAAUCCCUAUGCUUUUUAUCUGCACAUGCCGGCGCCGUUUUGAUCAGAUCGUCAAAUCUUGUCAUCUUCCUACUGCGGUGAAUCUUUCUCGUGCUGAGAGCCUUUACAGGCUAUACAACUCUGUCAGAGUAGUGUCUCCUUUUUAAAGACUACUACAUGCCUCUCAUUCUUCUUUGAAAAUUGAAAUAAUCACAUGCCUCUGUUGGGAGAGCUUCAACACAAUCAGUGAAUUUUUCUGCAUUUUCAAAUGAGUUCCACAAACCUUAGUGAUGAAACUUCGGGAAGAUGCCAGUGGAAUAUUUUGGUAUAGGAGUACUAUGUUAACGAACGGAAUGCUAUAUUACCUCUGUCCCAAGACAAUUUUUAAAA